rnacentral:rRNA from 1 species
UACGUAGGGGGCGAGCGUUGUUCGGAAUUACUGGGCGUAAAGGGCGCGUAGGCGGCCUGCUAAGUCGGACGUGAAAUCCCUCGGCUCAACCGGGGAACUGCGUCCGAUACUGGCGGGCUUGAAUCCGGGAGAGGAAUGCGGAAUUCCAGGUGUAGCGGUGAAAUGCGUAGAUAUCUGGAGGAACACCGGUGGCGAAGGCGGCAUUCUGGACCGGCAUUGACGCUGAUGCGCGAAAGCCAGGGGAGCAAACGGG